ACUGUACAGUAGAGUUUGAUCCUGGCUCAGGAUGAACGCUAGCGGCAGGCCUAAUACAUGCAAGUCGAACGGUAACAUGGUCAGCAAUGACUGAUGACGAGUGGCGCACGGGUGCGUAACGCGUAUGCAAUCUACCUCUUACUGGGGAAUAGCCCGGAGAAAUCCGGAUUAACACCGCAUAAUAUAUUGUUGAGGCAUCUCAGUGAUAUUAAAUAUUUAUAGGUAAGAGAUGAGCAUGCGUCCAAUUAGUUAGUUGGUGAGGUAACGGCUCACCAAGACAAUGAUUGGUAGGGGUUCUGAGAGGAAGGUCCCCACACUGUCACGUGAUGAUGACGGACCAGACUCCUACGGGAGGCAGCAGUAGGGAAUAUUGGGCAAUGGACGAGAGUCUGACCCAGCCAUGCCGCGUGCAGGAAGAAGGCCUUCUGGGUUGUAAACUGCUUUUGAUUGGGAACAAAAGAGCCCUUGCGAGGGAAGUUGAGUGUACCAAUAGAAUGAGCACCGGCUAACUCCGUGCCAGCCGCCGCGGUAAU
rnacentral:rRNA from 1 species